AUAUCGUAGAAACUCCGCGACCCAUCCCGAACCUAACCCACCUCCUUCCGCCGAAGGCAGCCGUCGUGAGCGAGCCAGCGACGGCGUUAGGCGGAGCGAGGGAGCCCGCGGCGCCGUGACUGGCCGCCGACGGAGCCCAGCGAACUGAACCUCCCCGCGGCCCACCACUUGUCCCACCUUCCUUCUUCCGCAGCGAGUGGAUCGGCCGCACCGACCACCGGCCUCACCACCGCGCCGCCGCCCAGUGUGCCGCCGCCCCAGCCAUCGGCCCCCCACCGCGCCGCCGCCUCCCUCCCCGCGCGCAGCUCCACCCGGCCUCAUCCUCCCUGCCCCCGCCUCCUCCCCUUCGCCAGCGCGCCUCCACCUCCCAGCCACCGGCGCGGCUCCACCUCCUCGUCCCGGCCGGCCAGGUGAUGCACGCGCAUCAAUUCGCGCGAGGCCCGUCCACCAGGCACCCUUUCGCCAUCUGGCGCGACGCCAUGGGUAAAGCCAGAGAUGGAGCUACCGGUUCCAGCACCGGCACCUACGACGUCAGUCCACCGACGUGCUUGGCGCCGUCCACAACUCCAUCGCGCUUGAGCUUAUGCUCCAGAUCAUCUUCCUCAAUGUUCCGGCCACGGCUCCCCACUGCCAACACAAGAUCCCAACCACUUCUUCUGUAAAAACUGAAGUUAUCUGUCGGAUUAGCUCCUUCACCGGUUUCUGAAGAUGGGAAGUUCAGAGUUUUAGCAAGCGAAGGCACAAUUGCACGUCGACAGUGCUCAGCCACCAGCAAUAACUUGGCAGAGGAAAUUCGAUGAUGAAGGCAAGAAGGUUGCUAUGCUUAGCAUGACCAUUGAUAUCUUCACAGUUAUACCAUUGAUUUUUAAAAUGCUUCGAUUACACGUCGAAGGAAUCGCGAAAAACCAAGUUGCCGUCAAUGAUCCGCUCAGGAAAUGGAUGGACAACUGCUACCGCGGGGUACCCCUCAGCGGACUAGGGAAGCAUAAGGAGAAGCUACCGAGGGUACUUUCAGCAGUUUCAAAUAUUCCCCAGGAUCUAUGAAGAGAAGCCUGUCCUUGCCAACCAGUUCUCAGCAUUCGUUUCGCAUCCUGGCGGGAAGAGCUACUCGACGGUGUUGAAACUGGUAUGCUGCUAUUUUUGUCAGGCUCGCCUUUUCGAUGCGCAAAAUGACGAGGGAUAAAGCUCUGGUCAGGAGACUUUCUGCAUGCGAGACAAUGGGUUCUGCAACAACAAUCUGCAGUGAAAAGACUGGAACAUUAACUUUAAAUCAGAUGACUGUUGUUGAGGCAUACUUUGGUGGUGAGAAGAUGGAUCCUCCAGAUAACACUCAGAAGCUAUCUGCUGCUGUAUCAACAAUGAUUAUUGAAGGAACUGCUCAGAAUACAUCUGGAAGCAUAUUUGAGCCGGAGCUGUGUGGCUUAAUGGUGGUGGAGGUCGUUCUGUAGGCUGCUUCUAGUGCUCGUGCCACGGCAUUCACCGCCACCACUCCAGACCGUUCACCAUCACCUCACGAGUUCGUUGAACAACGGAGGGGGCGUCAUGCUGCGGGUGGACAUGGUGUUGCGCUAGGGUCCUUGAUAGUUAGGGCUCCUUCAUAGAGGAGCACAGGCGCAGCUGGCAAAAAUGCACGGUACAGCGCUCUACCGGCCUUCCUCCUCUCGCUGGGAGGUUGUCAGCCUGUUGUUGACUCCUUCUGUUUGCGUUGGCAGAGAACUCACUCGUCCUAGCUGCUAAAUUUCUUGCAUCUGAGUGCAUCACAAAAGUGGCAAAAAGAACAUGGAUAAAAAAGGAGAUCAUCUUACAUGUGUCAAGCACCAAACCGACACCCCUGGUACCCACCGCGACUUGUGCUGCUGGUGCUAGUGUGGAUGUGUACCAAGCAAGGUUUUUGAGUCGCCGACUAAUCGCCAAGUCGUCGCGGCGUGGCUGGCUCGCGCAGGCGACUUGACUCAGGGAGCGAGUCGCGCGACUCGCUGGCUCGCCAGCGACUUGGCGCGAUUAGUCGGCGGCUAGUAGCCGCCGGUCGCGCGGGCCACCUGCCAGAAUUUGGUUGGGGGGGGCGGGGGUGUGUAAAUAGAGAGAGAGGACCGCGCGGGUUACAGAGAGACAGAGAGAGAGGGAAAGGGAGGGAACCGCGCGGGCCACUCCAGAUCGGCGGCCGCCGGCGACGCACCCCUCCAGAUCCUCCAAUGACGCGCACCCCCACCAGCCUCCACCGCCGGUGACGCGCGCCCCCACCAGCCUCCUCCACCGGUGACGCGCGUCCCCGCCAGCCUCCUCCGCCUCGGCCUCCAUCUUCUCCUGCGCCAGCAAACCUUAGCAGGCACUACAUUGUGGAAUGGAGGGAGUAUAUGGCGACUUGGGGCGACUAUUCAAGCCGAGUCAGUGAGUCAAGCCAGCAAGCCACUAGCCGCAACCUCGUCGACUUGGCUUGACUCGGCGACUCAAAAACCUUGGUACCAAGUUCAACUAUCAGUCUACUCCGAGUUCAGGGUAGUUCAAUUUUGCUAAUUCCUACGGUUCUCUAGUUAGAAAACCAGUGGAUCAUUUUUUUAGUUCCUGUGGUCUACAAAAUUAUUUGACCACCGUCGUGGGCACUUCUUCUUCGACAUCUCGUAAAGUUCAGCUUUCGUCAUCUCAUCCUUAUAUCUCUAUGGUAUCGUGACAUUGAGUAGGCGCGAAGUGUAUCACUCCAGCACACCAAGCUCUAGUGCAUGUCAACAUCUUCUCCACUGCAAUGGAAGCUCCUCCGUUCGAGUUGAGCACUGGUUAUCGUCCAAGUUGAGCACUAGGUGUCAUCCAAGUUCAAAGACGGUUGCAUGCAAGUACAUAAGUUUGUUUUAGUGAGAAAAAUGCGGCGUUUUGACAAUAUUCUGUUUGAUUCAUUUAUUCAAACUUAGGACUUGGCGAUAUUCGGUCUAUUUUUCUAUGAUGAAGGCACACAUGAAGUCAUGUGCGAAUGGUUAUCCCCCCUAGUGCUUCAAAGAUUUGUAUUUUGUUUCUUCAAA